AGAAAUGGUGAGAAGAUAUAUAGAUAAGUAUAGAAAGAAGCUAAUAAAAAAAGGAGAACCCAAGGCCAUAUAUAAUACUUAAACAAGCAUCCCUUUACUGAAAUUCCAACCAUAGGCACCAUCCAAUUCCAAACUGAAAAUUCCCCAAGCUUUCAACUCUUUUUCUAUUCCAGGUCACAAGGUUGGUGAUUCCAUAGAUGACAGCCAGUAUUCCCAACACUUUUCUUCGACACCAAAACCAGACUUAAAGGUCUAAGAAAAAUAAUACUUGAGAUAGUCAAUUGAAGACAUACUUUACAUAUAAACAAGAUGACUCACUAUCUAAUCAAUACAGGAAACCAAAGACAGGAGACACAGAGUCUGAAAUUAAUACAGCUGGCGAAAUCAGGCUUAAC